rnacentral:rRNA from 1 species
GAUGAACGCUGGCGGCGUGCCUAAUACAUGCAAGUCGAGCGAACGGACGAGAAGCUUGCUUCUCUGAUGUUAGCGGCGGACGGGGGAGUAACACGUGGAUAACCUACCUAUAAGACUGGGAUAACUUCGGGAAACCGUAGCUAAUACCGGAUAAUAUUUUGAACCGCAUGGUUCAAAAGUGAAAGACGGUCUUGCUGUCACUUAUAGAUGGAUCCGCGCUGCAUUAGCUAGUUGGUAAGGUAACGGCUUACCAAGGCAACAAUGCAUAGCCGACCUGGGAGGGUAAUCGGCCACACUGGAACUGAGACACGGUCCAGACUCCUAGGGGAGGAAGCAGUAGGGAAUCUUCCGCAAUGGGCGAAAGCCUGACGGAGCAACGCCGCGUGAGUGAUGAAGGUCUUCGGAUCGUAAAACUCUGUUAUUAGGGAAGAACAUAUGUGUAAGUAACUGUGCACAUAUUGACGGUACCUAAUCAGAAAGCCACGGCUAACUACGUG